rnacentral:tRNA from 2 species
GCAGACGUAGUUUACUUAAAAACGUUGGAUUGUGAUUCCAAAAAAGGGGGUUAAAUUCCCCUCGUCCGCC